ensembl:lncRNA
GGGCAGAGGUGAAGAUAGCAAGGGGCUUCCUGGCUCUGACAACACAUUAUUUUUUUAAUCAGAUAGUACUUUCCCAAUGAGAAAAGAAAUUUUAGGCAUCAUACUAGGUUUUUACUGAAAGUCAUUAGAGUAGAAUUGAUUCAGUAGUAAUUCUGAUCCUAUCCUAAAUUAAACCUAACUGGAAGUAAAACAGUCUAAGAUUCUUUUUUUUUUUUUUUGCUUUUUAGGGCCACACUCGUGGCACAUGGAGGUUUCCAGACUAGGUGUCUAAUCAGAGCUACAGCUGCUGGCCUACACAGAGCCUAAACAACGGCAGAUCCGAGCUGUGUCCGCGACCUACACCACAGCUCACAGCAAUGCCAGAUCCUUGCCCCACUGAGCGAGGCCAGGGAUCGAACCAGCAACCUCAUGGUUGCUAGUUGGAUUCAUUUCCAUUGCACCACAAUGGGAACUCACAGUGUAAGAUUCCUAAUUGUGACCUGUUGUAACUUCACAUCCAUUUUAGUGUAAAAUAUGCAACUUCUUUGUGAAUAAUGGAUACCCAAUGAACUAUUUUCUUUUCCAGUAAUAUGGAGAUAGUGAAAUGCCAACCUGCCGGGAACAUUUUGUGGUUCCACUGUACCUGCUCCCUUUAUCUCUCCUGGAAACUUCCUUACAGUUCAGUUUGUCGGUGGCUCAUCUUUGGAAAGAGAAGGAUUUAAUGCUACAUAUACUCUUGUGGACAUGCCUUGUGGCGGAACAUAUAAUGCAACUUGGACCUCACAAAGUAUUUGGUCCCCCAGUUCCUCAGACCCAGAUGUCCCACUUACCACCUGCACUUGGGUCAUCGAAGCGCCUCUGCAUCAGCAAGUCGAGAUAACCGUGUGGACAUUUCAGCUGCACUCACAGGACUGCGACCAGAAUUACUUAGAGUUUCAGGACCCCCCAGAGGUAGUGAUUAUGGGAUGAAUGACAGUCACAGCUGUGACCUCCUCACCCGUAUCUGCAAAAAACGCUUGAAGUAAUGAGGGCACGAUGAACCAAAUUCUCAGAGUUGCUUCCAGCCUAAUGUGGUUUUCGGCCAUCUGCAAAACCCUCCAUUUAUAAGCAUUAGGAAGCCUGAGCUUGGUCUGCCGGUCAGGGGCAAAAGAAACAUCUGGGUGUCUUGAUACAAGUGCACAGCCCGGGGCCACACCCCCCAGAGACGAAUCCCACCACCACUGGCUCAUCCACCUAAAGCUUUCAUGAGCAUCUCUGGUGAUGCCAGUACCCCACAGAGAAAUGCUUCUGCAGUUAGUGGGAUCUGUGCAUAGACUAAACUGAAGGGAUCAGUUAAGAAGCCAUUGGGGAGUUCCCGUCAUGGCUCAGUGGUAAUGAACCUGACUAGUCCUUCUGAGGACUCAGGUUUGAUCCCUGGCCUCGCUCAGUGGGGUAAGGAUCUGGCGUUGCCGUGAGCUGAGGUGUAGGUCACAGAUGUACCUUGGAUCUGGCGUUGCUGUGGCUGUGGUGUAGGCCAGCAGCUGUAGCUCCAAUUCAACCCCUAGCCUGGGAACCUCCAUAUGCCACGGGUGUGGCCCUAAAAAACAAAUAAAUAAAUAAACGAGAGAACA